rnacentral:rRNA from 1 species
UAAUGGUAUUGCUUAGUACGGCGAGUGAACCGGGAAAAGCUCAAAUUUGAAAUCUGGCUGUCUUCGAUAGUCCGAGUUGUAAUCUAUAGAAGCGUUUUCCGUGCUGAACUGUGUAAAAGUCCCUUGGAACAGGGUAUCAAAGAGGGUGAUAAUCCCGUACUUGACACAAUCAUCAGUGCUCUGUGAUACGCUCUCUACGAGUCGAGUUGUUUGGGAAUGCAGCUCAAAAUGGGUGGUAAAUUCCAUCUAAGGCUAAAUAUUGGCGAGAGACCGAUAGCGAACAAGUACCGUGAGGGAAAGAUGAAAAGCACUUUGGAAAGAGAGUUAAACAGUACGUGAAAUUGUUAAAAGGGAAACGAUUGAAGUCAGUCGUGUUCAUUGGAUUCAGCUAGUUCUUCUAGUCUACUUCUUUUGAACGGGUCAACAUCAGUUUUGUCCGGUGGAUAAAGGUAUUAGGAAUGUGACUUCCUCGGAAGCGCUAUAGCCUAGUAUCACAUACACUGGGGGAGACUGAGGACUGCAGCUCGCCUUUUGGCCGGGGUUCGCCCACGUUCGAGCUUAUGAUGUUGACAUAAUGGCUUUAAACGACCCGCCUUGAAACCACGGACCCACU